rnacentral:lncRNA from 1 species
UAACUCGGAUCGAUCCAAAACACAUUUGAACAUAAAACUUCAAAUCCUAAUAUCUCCUUCAAUACUCGAUGAAAUUCCAUGGUUCAAAGUUCAUUGCAAACUACAGUCAAGGAUCUACAAGAAUCCUACAAUAAUUUCACGAAUCAAGACUAUGGAAAUCUGACCUCUAAUUCAUGGCAGAGCUGGAAUCGCGAUCCUUGAGCUAUGAAAGCUGAAAACAGAAGCUUCUCCAGGUCUAGGUUAAUGAAUGGAUGAAGUAUCUCA